UAUGAUUGACAAGGCAUGCGCAUAAACACUGGCUUCUUAAGUAGUUGCUAGUACCAUUCAUAAAUCAAACCUGUAUUAGAAAUUACGUUCAUUUUCAUGGAGAAAAGAUUGAAAUUGCUAAUUCAAUCCCUUGGUGUUUUCAGAAAACAAAAUACAUAAGGCACAUUUUUAUUGAUUGUGUUGUCCCUUUGUCUUGCAGGCUAGAAAGGCAGAAUCCGUCGUGCCCAUUAAUCUAUUUACCUCAUCAGAGGCCUAUAGAUAAUUGUUUGGGAAGAGUCAGAAGGGUCUCACCUUCAAGUGUGCGGAAAAAGGACUGAACUCUCCUCUAUUUCAGUGAAAUCUUUGGCAUGCUUAAGUUCGUAAGACGUAUCUAGAUAGAUUAUGUGGCCUUUGUACCCAAUGUACUAGUUCUAUAUUCAGAAAAAUACAAUCUUAAUAAAAUUUUAGCCAUUGGCCUAGCAAUUUAUUAUUUGUUUUAGCCAGAGGACCAUGGAGAUAUCGAUUAUGUUGUAUGAUCUCGGGCUUAAUAUUUUUUUUUUUGUUGGGCUAAGUGAAAGGAUAGCGCAGGAAUAGUUGCUUUCGUGAUCCCUUGUACAAAUCUCUGUGUUACUCAAUCUUUCCGCACAAUUGUCGUACAUAAGUAUUAGCACAAAAGCAAUCAAAAGCAUGACAUCAAGUUUCACAAUGUAAGCCAUGAUUGUCCAGAAGUAAUCUAUAGAAGAUGAAAACAAUAUGAGGUUGACGUAUAAAUAUUUCGACAUGAAGAAGACCAUGGUAUACACUAUUUACCAACGUACACAUAGCAAAACCAAAAAUUAUUGGAUCUGUAUCGCACAGGAAGGCUUGGUCAUUAUGUUUUAGAUGAUAUUCCAAGGAUUUCCUGAGAAUAUAAACCUGGCCAUCUUUUUCUUGCACUUUUUAUUUUUCACUUUUCUUGAAAGCCAAGGUGUAUAAUGUUUCCGUGGUGCUCAAAUCAUGCACGCAAAAAAAGAAAAAAAAAGACAUACUGUAUCAAUGUUUUAGUGAAUUGCAGAUUGAAAUAGUGGCACCCUUAAAAGAACAUAGCUCACUGGAACUUUAAAUAGAAUUCAAAAGAAAAGUGAAGUCAACCAUGGGCACCUUAUGUACAUAGUCUCCACGAACUAUAUGCGAGUCAGUGCCUAAGAUUUGUCAAUAUUAAGGUACUAGGGAAUAAAGCCAAGUUCCCUAUGAUAACACAGAAGAGGUUUUUGCAUCUGUAUCAUCCUGCAGCUCAAGGCAUUUGACCCUGGCCUCUCUUUGUUUUUCAGAUGUCUAGUCUCAGAUAAGGCUACCUACCCAGUAGAAGACUACCCUUACGGUAGGCUUGAAUGAUGGCAUAACUCUUUACCAUCCUUUCCGUUCAUAGCAAUUGCAACCGUUUGACCUAAAACGCUGUCGAAAUUGUACAACAGGAGUUUUAACAAUUCUAAUAGAUCAUCAAGAGCUUUAAACAUUUCCUUACAACAUCAGCACAGAUGAUUUGUACGAGAUAAUCUUAACAUCACAUCAGCACAGAUGAUUUGUGGUACAAAAAGUGGUGAGAAAUUAGGAUAUUCUAAUGUAGGAAUUUCACGAAAGAGAAAAACAAAAUUAAACUGUUAGCUACAUAUUCCUUGAGGAGGAAACUGCAAAACCUCUUUGUUUCGAGAAAAAAUAAAAGUUUUCUUCUAACUUAAUACUUAUUUAUCACAAACUAAUACUAUUAGAGCAUAAAAUGUCACUCACAUGCCAAAAUGUAGGGAUUAAUUUAUAUGUGUGGUGCAUCCACAAACAAAAUAUGAUUUUUAUAUGUCGUUCAUGAUGUUUCUUUAGAUCUCCUCACUUGGAUCUUACAUUAUCAAGAGUGUUUAGCUGAACAAUCAAUAACCAUUCAUAAUGAGGUUAAUUAAGUUCCUCAUAGUUGGCAACAUAUUAAACCAAGAAUAAGGAGAAAGUUUCUUCACUAGCCUAUUAUGCAGUGAAAUGAAGAUUAUUGAAUGAAACAAAAAAAGAUUAAAAAAUCUGAUUGACAUCUUGAAGUGAUUUUAUUUCACUAUUUGAUACUUUCAAUAUUUGUGAGUUUACAAUUGGCGAUUAUACAAACUUUAUAUUGCUUCUAUAAUAAUAUUGAUGAUCUUGAGAACCUAAAUCUAUAUAGAGAUUCAUCACUGCCCUUUCUUCUAUUUAUGUUGUCAAAAGGUAUAAAAUUAUUGUAUUCACUAGCAAAUCCAGUGACUUAUUUUUUUUUUCAGUUAUCAAUACUCAACAAAAUUUGUAUACAUUCUUCAAUAUAGUGAUGUUACAAGUGCUAAAUUUUUUCUUUGAGAUAAUGUAGUGCAAUACUCAAUAGAGCUAUAAAAGUCAAAGCUCACUAACAAUGCUAAACAUAUCAAUUAUUAUUCAAAAAAUAGAUGUAUGUGCAGGCUUUUAAGAAAAAUGGUAUAUAAUUCAACUAAUCUCGAAAGUAGCAAGAUUUUACUUUUAUUGUAACUACAGUAUAAACUCAUUAGUUUUUUGGCUUAAAUAUUGGGAUAAAAUUAUAUUUAAGAUGACAAAGUAGUCAAAUAAAGCUCAUUCUUCUUUUUUUUUUCUUUUUUUUUGGGAGAUUCAUUGUCAUACACAAUAUAGACACAUGGUAAACGUAAAGCAAUCAUGUAAGGGUUUUGUAGUUCACUAAAGUAAAAAAAAGGAGAAAAAAUGUCUCUCUGCUAGAACAACAAACCCUUUCUACUCUAUCAUCUUAAGGAAUGAGAACUUGAAGGAAAGAUUUGUUUUAUCAUUAAUUUCAAACAUUCCAUGCAUAUGCAGAUAGCGUCCAUUGAUCAAAUUCGAACCAAACAGGAAGUAUCAUGGAAGUACAAUGCAACAUAAAUCAUAGUCAAAUUAAGUCAAAGUUCAUCAGUAAACAAGCACGUACCUUGGCCUCUCCUUGGGCUUGAACAACAUUUUUCAACCUCACUUCCUGCUGAAGAAUCUUUUCUUUCUCUUGAUUAAUCAGACUUUUUGUCUUGCAAAUGUGUUUUUCUGAGCUUUCUAUCUUUUCAAGGCUUUCCUUUUCCUUUUUCACAGCCUGUUUCAGAUUCUUCUUUGAUUCUGAUUCAUUCAAUUUAAUGUUAGUGAGCUCAACUCGAAGUCUAAGAUUUUUAGCCUGAACUUUUUCCAAUUCUUCAUAGAGCCUGUUGAGCUGACCAGUUGCGGUUCUUCCACCUUUUUUUUUCUUUAACAUCAUUUAAGGCAUAGAAGUUGUGAGUUCCUCUUUCUCCUUAGCUAGUUGAUCACUCUUUUCUUUCUCCGAACUUAGCUUAAUUAACUCAUGAGUAUGACUAACCAUAUUCGCUUUCGCUUCCCCUCUUUUAUUCAGUACCCAAUUUAUUCUUCCAGUUGUUGCUUAUGACUUCGUAUGAGUUCUUCCAUGCUGAAAAUAAUUUCAUUUAUUUGCUCUUCAGAAUAAUUUCUUAGUCAUGUAAAGAAUUUUUCUACUAGCUUGUCUUUAGAGUGCUUAGAAUCACAGUUGUCCCCUUCUUUCUCAUGUCCCAAUCCAAAUUUGAUACCUGAGAUAUCGGUUUGCUUGCUGUUUUCUUUGGAUUUAUAAGGAUUAGAUUUCUACUUUUUCUUCUUGUGCUUUCCUUUCCUAGUGCUAGCCAUCAAUGCAGAUUAAGCUGCAAGAAGAAAAAUGAAAGGGCCACUACAUUCAUUAGUUGCAAUAAUAUAUAAGAUGUCAUUGAAAAAUCGGGAAAUAGCAAAAAGAGAAAGAAUUAUGCAUGGAAAUUAACAUGACAAUAAUGUUACCGCAUAUUAGAAAUCAAGAACGAUUAUCUUAUGUGCGGAAGACAAUACAAGAAAAUGAAAAGAACGAUUUCCUUAGUAUUCUUCACCAUAUUUUGUUUUCUAAUUUUGAGUAAGUCCACUUAUUAAGCCCACAUGUAGAGAAUCAAUGUAUGUCAAUAUAGCUCUUCAAAGGAACAAAAAUAUUCAAAAUAGUAAUAAUAACACAAGUUCGAAAACCCUCUUUAAGGAAAAAGAAUCAAAAACUAAUUUGCUUUUGAUUUUGGUUCAUUUCCUUAUUUUUCUUUCCUUGGGUUGCUUUUGAUUUAGAAUUGCCAAAAAAUAAAAAUAAAAACAAGAAAGAAUCUAACUAGUAAAUGAGUCUAAAUGCAAUAUACAAAAAUGACAUUGAAAUUCAGUGAAAUGUUGAAAAGAUGAUCACCGCAUGAUUCACAUUAAAAUGUGGAGAGAACUGAACAGUUGUCGGUUAUCGCAAAAGAAAGAUGAAGAUAUUUAUAUAAAAUUUAUGUGUAGAGAGAGAGAGAGAGAGAGAGAGACUCAAGUCAAUUUGAGUUAACAAAGUAGAAGUAGUGCCCUUUUGAAAAUUGAGAAGAUUGAGUGAAAGAGAGAGUGAUGAGUAGGUUUGAAAUGCCUUUUUGGAAAUCAAGAAGAGUGAGUGAAAUAUAAAGUAAUGAAUAGAAUUGAAAUGUCUUUUUGAAAUCGAAAAGUGUGAGUGAAAGGGAGAGUGAUGUGUAGGAUUGAAAUAUUUUUUUGGAUAUUAAGAAAAGUGAGCGAAAGAGAAACUGGUGAGUAAAAUUGAAUAGGUGUGAAAGAGGGUAGGACAAUUGUUAGAUAUGAGCAUCCAACUAAUGCACGUCAUUAUUUGACCUGCAAUACAAAGUUUAACAAUAUAGGAUGCUUAAUCUUGAUGGAUAAGUGUGAACGAUAAUAGAACACAAAAUUGUAGUUACGAAAAUUCACAAUUUAGUUUGUAAUUAAUUACAAGAUAUUCUCAUUUGACUUAGAUUUUGCAAAGCUAAUUAUGGGAACUAAUUAUAAAGAUUAAUCAAAACCAACUAAAACUAUAUUUAUUGAUUUGAGGGAUUUUUCUAUUUAGGUUAUUAAAAUAUAUAAAAUGAAAGUGUAAACAUAAUAAAAAGCAUAAAAAAACUGGUACAUCAAAAUCAAAAUCUAUAAGCUAGUUAAAUAAUAAACCAAAAUAAGCCCUAAAGUAUAUUAUACUCCCUCUGUCCCAUUGAAACUGUUAUACUUUCCAUUUUGGUCUGUCCCAAAAUAUUUGUCACAUACUCAAAAUGGAAAACAAAAAUUCUCUUGUUUCAAUUUUUACCCUUCAAGAUUCCCUCAUUCUUUACUUUUAUUAGUGGGGCCCCUUGAUUUUCAUUUGCUCUCAACUCAAGUUGCAAGACAGCCGUGAGAUACACACAAGGUUUAAAGUGAUGCGUGAGAAUCACUCUCUGUUGGCGGAUUGCAUUUCUUGUAAGUAGCUUUGGCCCCACAUGUCAUUUUUGUCUUCUUGACCACUAAUGACCACACAUUCUAGUGGCAAAAUCGGAAAACAAAUCUGAAACUUAAUACUGUGCAUAAAACGUUCAGUUCCCAAAGCAUGACAAAGUUUUCGGGACAGAGGGAGUAUCAUUCAAGAACAAUUUCAUUGAUAACUAUGCUGCCUCUCUUUGAGCGAAAGGGGUUGAGCGAGAAAGUGAGCGAAUAGGUUGAUUAGCAAGAAAUUCAGUAAAAGUUGGGCAUCAAAAGAAGUGAUGGAGGAUGAGAAUUAGUAUUAGGUCAUAGAAGAAAAAGAAUUUUUAUAUAUAAAUGUGAUUCAAAAAUCUUAGUAUUGAAGAUAAUGAUGAACUACUAAUUGGACUUCAAUUUUUAUACCCUUUUCCCAACUAUGAAAUAUAUUUCCAAAAAUAAAUGACUGAUAAUCUAUUGAUUUAUCAAUUUAUUAUUUAUUUUUAGUCAACACCUUUGAGAAUAGGAUAAAUUUUGACAAUAUGAGAAAAUGAUAAACAUAAAUAGGUACUCCCAUUUAUUUCUUCUGCAUUUGGUUUUUUCUUCAGAUUGCAUAAGUUUUACAUUAUUUAAUCAUUUUUCACUAAGUUUUGCUAUCAAAAUAUAAAUAAUUUGCUAAAUCGUAUAAUAAAACAAUAAUACACAUAACAAGAUAUUGGAAACAAACAUGCCUAAUUAAAAUUUGUUAAAAUAGUUGCUUUAUCAUUUAUUAUUAGUUAAACUAGUCAACAAUUCAAUCCUCAUCCAAACAACUAAAGUAGAACCUUUUUUCCACUACCUCAUGCAAUUAGGGAAGAGCCAAUGUAAUAUCAAAGUUAUUGUCAAAGAAGAUGCCAUACAAUUUUUUUUUUCUUUUUAGCUGCUAUACAAAAUUAUCAAAGAAGUAGCUUACAUGAAGGCAUCUAGUCUUAGAAGAGAUCUUAAUUGGCAUGUUUUAAUAAAUUAACAAUAUUUCUUGCAAAAUUUCACAAUUAGUAACUAGGUCCACUCUGAACCCGAGAUAUUGUUUGAUAACUUCAAAGCACCAUGAAAUAAACCUGAAGCAGAUAGGCUCAAUUUUGCUGAUUAUCAGCUUCUAGAGGAAGAAGACAAAUACUAUCGUUCCUGCGGCUGCAUGGAUGUCCAAUUGUACAUAAAGUUGUGAUGGCAUCACUUGUCUAGUACUCGAAAAACAACCUUGCUUCUUUGGCGGGGCCUAGGCAUAUGCACGUUAGACUUUUUUUAUUAUUUUUUAGAACAACAAAAAUCCAGUAAAUUUACAGCACAUUUUCGUGGAAACAAGAAUCAUGUCAAAUGUUCAAAGAUAAGAUUAGUAUGCAACCAAUAAUAUCAAACUUCAACAGAAUAAAAUUUAAAUAAGAGAAUGCAAAAUUUUUUUAAAAAUAUUUUAAAAACUUGGAUUUGAUAGCUAAUGCAAAAAUAACAAGUGCAAGAGGUGAUGCAUAUCUAUCUUAUAUGCACAAUGUAUAUCCCAAACUUCAGCUCAUUGGUAGUGAAACACACACACAUGCACACACACUUUUUCUCUCUCUCUUUCAGAGUUAUGUCUAACAUUCCAUUGCCAAAUAACCAUUUCUCGAUGUAAAUGCAUGAGUUUUUAACUUUUGAUUUGAUACCGCAGUAGAUUUAUAUACAACAAAUGACUCAAGAAUGAAGUUAAGAUCCUAGCAACUGCUAGUAGAUUCUUCCUGUUCUAAACCCUAUCACAUCUAAGGUCUAUUCUUCUUGUUCUCCAAAUGGAGACAAAUGAAAAUUUUCCGUGGUAUGUUAAGCAUCGAUCUUCCAUUGCUUCUCUAUGUUGAUUUUCAAAAAAUUCUCUUGAUAUAAAUAUUUCUUGAUCAAUUAGAUAGAAGAUAGUAUAAAUCUUGGAAGUUUUAGAGAAGUUUCCUUGAAGGAUUAAGUUAGCAUUUAUUCAGUCAGUCCACACAUUGGAUUUUUUUAAUAUUGAUCCUCUCUUGUCCCCCCUAAAUUUUGAUAAUAUUCCUUUAAAUCCAACAAUUGCCUCUCGAAAGUGUUAAAACCUUUUGCAAUUUCUCUAACCAGUUCUAAUGGAACAUUGAAACAAUAUAUUACACAAUGCUAUUUUUUUUUCUUUCUAAUGUUUUGUUUUAUGUAACAUUGAACUUUUUUAGAUGUUAAAUAAUAAGAAUUACAAGCGAAAUAAACAUUCCUUUGACAAUCCAGUUCUGUACAAAUGACUAGCCCAGUUUAUAUACUAGAUUUUUACAUUUUGAAGUCUUUUGCAUGUUUUAAAGUCCUAUACAAUUUUAUAAGAGAGAAUUAUUGUUGAUAAGUGUAUAUUUUAUGUGUUUUAAAUAUUUUUUAUUAUUUAGUUUUGGUGUGUUUCAUAUUUUUAGCUAAUUAACUAAGUUUCUAGUGAAAAUAUAUAUUUUGUGAUUUAAAGUGUAAAAAUUGCAUUUCUAUGGAUUUUAAUGGUGAAAACUUCAUGUUUUUGUAGGUUUAAGGAUUCAAUCAUUAAACGGCAUGAAUUCGAAAGAUAAUUGGAUGAUUGAUGAUGGUUUUGAAGUGAUAAAAGAGAAUAUGAAGUACAAGAGAUGAAAUGCAAUUAAAGAAAGUUUUCCAACUUUGAUACCUUGUGGUAUUUUGACUAUAUCUUAAAUUACAAGCAUUAGAUUGAAAUGAUUCAUAUACUAUUUUAAAGUAAGAGAUAGAUCUACAAUUGGUAUGAAGAGAUCCAAGUCCAAUUUAGUCAUUUUACUAGGCAAAAAGUCUAAAUACAAAAGUGCAAUUUUAUUGUCGAAAGUUGAAACAGAGUUAAGACAGUCAAAAGUAUUUUAGUCAUUUAUCAAUCCACAAAUCUUCGAAUUGAAUGAUUCUUGAUGCAUUUGAAAGAUAAGUUAAAGGGCUACAACUUUUAUGUUGUAUAAAAGAGCUAUUCAGCCUCUAACAUCGAGAAAAUUUCAGUUGAAAUUGGAUCGAAAAUAGAGCAACAAUGAAUUCUGCCCAAAAAGUGCAAACCUGCAAAGGAGAAAAUAUGGGGUACAAUACGCGACCGAAGGUCUCAUUUUUGAGGUCGCAUAUUCAUUAUUUUCAGCUACAAAUUGCUCUGCAACUUGUUCUUUGUUCACACAACUUUCCAAAUUAAUUCUAGUAAGCAAUUUCGACUGUAUAUAAUCAAGAAGAGUUUGAAAACUUGGAGAACAACUCUUGGUGAGUUCAAAAGUCAACUUUAUCAACCAAGAAACAACUCACCUUGAGUUUGAAUCCUCUAUAAAUAGCAGCCUUUGGAAACUACUUUCAUAACUUUGGAAAGUUAGAGAAACUCAACAAAAAUGUAGUUUUCAUUAGAAUUUUCUUAGUUCAUUAAUUAGAGUAGUCUAGUAUAGGCAGUGUAGUUUAUCCUCCUUAUAUUUGUAGUUAGAUUUGGAUAAAGAAUCAAGGAGCAAAAAUGAAGAGGUUGAUCUUAUAUGACAAAGGUGAUAUCUCUUCUACUGCUUUCUCUCUUGUAUUUAAUUUCAUGUUUAGCUAUAAUACAAGUUUGGAUUUGUGUUUUUAUCAUGUUUAGUUAAAGUUUAUAUUUAGAGUUAUGGAUGAACUUACUAUAUCUUAUUGGUGAAUUUUGCUUGGUUAUUUGAUGAUAUUAUUUUAAACAAGUUAUUUAUCACUUUUGCUUUUCUAAUCAUGAUUAACCGGCUAUUAAUUAUGAUAAUCUUAAAGUGUUAAAUUUGCAACGAGAAUUGAGAUUUAACACUAGUUCAAGGAAGUGAUAAAUCUAGAGAAUUCACUCAUGAGAGUAGAGGAGUACCUUUGUGGCUUUAGUGACUUGUUUCAUGUAAUUUCAUAGAAGGAAUGAGAAUGUAGUUAAUUUCAUAACCACGAGAGUAGGUAUGACUUAGUUACAAGUAUAGUUGAUUCACUACAAGAGUAAAUUCACAUACAUUAGGAAAUUACGCCAUAAUUAGCCAAGAUAAUAGCAUUUACUUAACUCGUAAUUUCAUUUACAAGAGUAGCGAGGAAUUCCAUAUUUCUAUGAGUUUUCUAAUGUUAUUUUUAUCAUUUUUAUCUCAUGUUUAUAGUGUAGAUUUAAUCUUUUGCAUUUCUGAUAGUCUAAAUAAUAAAGGAGUUCAAAAAUCAUUGGUAGUUGAUAAUCUUCUCUGUGAGAUCGACACCUAAUAUCUCUAUAUUCAAUAAACGAUUCGUAUACUUGCAAAAAAUCGUAUGUGGAGUAUUUAUAAUUUUAUAAAUAUAAAAUUUGAUUGUGGAUGAGUUAAUUGCAUAUGUAUACCUUAUGCUCGUCAAGUUUUUGCUGCCGUUGCUGGCAAAGAUUUGCUCAAUAUCGGAGUUAAGAACAAAUUUAUUAAUUUAGAUAUUUUUACUUGUUUUUCUUGUAUCUGUUAUGUCCAGUGUCUUAAUUGUUAUGUUUAGUGUCUUGUCGAGUCUUUUAUUUUGUGUUUAGUGUCGAGUUUUUAUAUGUGUCGAGUUAUCUAUUAUCUUUGACUAAACUUGUUUUUGAGUUAUUUUGAAAACAUGUUUUGGGGUUCAAGAAGAGUAGAAUACAUGGAUGGACAAUGGUUGAGAAAUGAAAGAUCGACAAUGAAUGGUUAUCAUGUGUAAAAUUUCUUGGAUAGAGGUAAUCAACAAAUUAUCGAAGGUAUGUCUUUUGAAAAUGGUUUAAAGUACUUAAAGGUUAAAUUUGAUGUUAUAAUAUUAAAAGUCCAAUUGAAUACCAUUAUGCAUGAGAUUGAACAAAAGAGGAAUGUCAAUACUUUCAAUUCUUAUCAUGUAAUUUAUGACUUAUGUGGCGGUUAUCAUGCUACUCAUACGUGUAGGCAAGCACAAAAUGUGAAUAAUUAUAAUGAAUUGGGGCAUUACAAUCCUUGUUUUGAUUAAUAUGGUGUCAAUUGGGAUAAUUCUUCUACUUAUGAUUGGAAUAAUCAAUGCACUUAUAGUGAUUUUUCAUGUUUUUAUGAUUUUCAACCCGAAUGUGUCUAAUAUGAAUCAAAACCGUCUUGAGAAUUAGCAAUAGAAAAGUUAGUUAAUGCAUCUUUACCUUGGCAACUAGAAAGUAAACCAUUAGCUAAUGAUUCUAAACCAUCUUGGAAGUUAGUUAUAGAAAAUUCUUCUAAUGAAUUUGAUUUAAUUAUAGAAAGACUAAUUAAUGCAACUUCCGACCGUUUUGAUAGGGUUGAAGAAAAAUUAAAUGAAUUAACUUCUCAAUUUGGUAGAAUACAAGGCCAAUUGCAUGAGUUGUAUGAAGUUAUAUUUUCUAAUAAUAUACAAGUUGACCCUAUUAUGAAUGGUGGGAAUGUUGUAUGUGACAAUGAAUUAUAUUUUGAUCAAAAUGAUGAAUCUAAUUUGAGUUUCAAUGAAGAAAUGUUCAUUUCACAUGAUAAUACCUUUGGAUCUAACCUUGAAUCUCAAGAGGUGAGUCUUAACAAAUCAUUGAUAACCCCUCUUGAAGAGUAUGUUAAAAGUAUAUGUUCUAAAUGUAUUGUUGCCUAAGAAACCCUCAUGGCAUCUCCUUUGAUUAGUAUUCAAGUGAUAUAUAUUCAAGAUAAUAUCUAUGAAUCACUUGAAACAGGUAAGCCGCUUCCACCUCUCACAUCAUUAGAAUACGUGACUUUUGUUAUUAAGUCAUCUUUUAAUGAUUCACCACGUCCUAAAAUAGUGGAUUAUUUUUUAACAAAACCUUUUUAAAAAAUGAGGUGAAAUAGUCAAGCUAAUGACUAUAAAGAAGUACUUGUUGGGAGGCAACACAAUGUUUGUUUAAGUUUAUGUUAUUUUGGUGUGAUUUUAUGUUUAAAUUAUUUUAUUCUUUUUCUUUUAUAGGUAUUUGAAAUAGAAGCAAAAGUGACCAAAUGAGGUGGAAAAUAUGAAAUUUGAUCAAGGAACUCCAUCCCUUGAUUUGAGUAAAAGUUGUUUUUAAUUUGUUAAAGAGGAUUAAAAUGCAUGUUUUGAUCAUUUUACAUGUGCGUGUAUUGAAUAUUUUGGCAAAAAAAUGUCUAGAAUGCAUUUUGAGUAAUUGGGAUAAAGGCAUAAUUUUUGGAAAGUUAGAAAUUUUUGCAGAAAAAUUACAGAAUUAAGAAAAUGAAGGUAUCAAAAUGCAACUUCAUGUCGUGUUUUCCCAGUUGCAUUUUGCAUUCUGUAAAUUUUCAACAGAAAACACAAUUACAAAAAUUCGACCCCAAGUAGUGUUUUCAUGAGCCGCAUAUUUGACCUUGCAAUUUCUCAACUGAAAACGUGACCUCAAGUUGUUGUUUUCUGCUGUUGCAUUUUUAGGAUUAUUUUUAAAGAAAAAUGCAAGUUCCUUGUUCAUUCUUUUUUUCUUUUUUUUCUCAUGUAUUUUCUUGUAUCUUGAGUAGCUUGUUGUACAUUUUCUAUAGGUACAGAUCGCCGUUUUAUAUUUAUUAACAUCUUUGUUAUUAUCUUUGUUUCUCAUUUUCGCUUCUUAAGUUUAAUUACUAAUGGUUACAAUGGAACUCAUGAAAUUUUGGAGAUAAGCGGACAACUGAUUGUGACACUUCAUGAUGCGUCAAUCGCAACAUAAGGAAGUAUUAUUUUCUUUAUUUUGGUUUCCUUUUUACACAUUGAUGAUAAUGUGUAUUUUAAGUGUGAGGGGGAGAGAAUUGAGAUUAUAUACAUUGUAUGUGAUUGACUUGUUGGUUGCAACUAUUGGAUUUAUACUUUAAUUUGUUCAAAAAUUGGGUUUGUUGGCAGGAGUUUUGUCCAUUUAUAAGAGGAAACUCUACCAAAAGUUUUUCAAAAUUUUGUCCAAAAUUACAAAUUUUUCCCACAAAGUUUCAAUUUUUUCAAUUUUAUCCAAGGGUAACAAGUUCCAAACCAUUAGUAAUUCAAAUUCCUUCUCCUUUGAGAUAAAUAUAUGUGGUUCGAAAACUUCUUUUCUCAUUUAAUUUGAAAAUAACUAUUAUGUGAUUAUAAUUUGUACAUUUAUAGGAAAGUAUAUCGUGUAAAAUAGAGAAAAUUAUGUAUAAAUUUUGCAAUUUUGAUGAAAUUUUUUCUUUUUAUCUGAUUUUACAUAGUUAAGUGAUUAAUAUGGUUAGUAAGUGUAAUACUCUUCUUAUGAUUAUUCUUUUGAAGGAAUGUUAUUAUUUUUUAUUUCAGAAAAAAAGAGAAAAAAAAAACAAAGAAGUAGAAAAAAAGAAUAAAAAGAAUAAAAUUUGUUCUACUCCAAUGGUUCUUGUACUUAGUAACCGGGAGUUUUCAUCUUCAAAUGUCGACAUUCGCGUAAAACGAUACUUGAAUUAAGAGUAUGUUAAGUGUUGAGUAAUUGAAAAUUUUCAUCUAAAAAUGUAGAUUUUCAUGUAAAAAGGUACUUUCAUAAUUUAAGUAUAUAUUUAAUUAUGUUAUAUGAAUAAAUUCCUCUUUAAAUUGAAUAAAAAGAUGAUCAUGGGUUUAGAAAGUAUUACUAUUGACCAUAGGGAUUACUUGCUUGUGAAAUUAGGUAAAAAUGAGAAAUUGAGUUGAACUAGUUAAAAUUAUAGUAUAAUUGACUCUUAUUUACUUGAUAUUAUGAGUACUUGAACUUAGUUGAGUGAUUGCAUAAUAGUUAUUUACUUUGUUGUGAGGAAACGAAGUUGAAUGGUGCACACGUGUUUAUUUUUAAAAUUUUGGAUCAUUAUUGGUUUGUAAUUCUUAAUUGUUUAAGGACAAGCAAUGGUUCAAGUGUGGAGAAUUUGAUAAGUGCAUAUUUUAUGUGUUUUAAGUGUAUUUUAUUAUAUAGUUUUGGUGCUUUUUAGUCAUGAUUUUAGCUAAUUAACUAAGUUUCAAAUGAAAAUAUGCAUUUUGUGGUUUAAAGUGUAAAAAUUAUAUACCUAUGAAUUUUAAUGGUGAAAAUUUCAUAUUUUUGUAAGUUUAAAGAUUCAAUCGUUAAAUGACAUGAAUUGACAAGAUAAUUGGAUGAUUUAUAAUGGUUUGAAGUGAUAAAAAGAGAAUAUGAAGUGCAAGAGAUGAAAUACAAUUAAAGGAAGUUUUUCAACUUUAAUAUCUUAUGGUAUUUUGGCUAUAUCUUGAGUUACAAGAAUUGGAUUGAUGUGAUUCUUAUAUCAUUUUGAAGCUAAGAUAUAGAUCUACAAUUGGUGUGAAAACAUCAUAAUCCAUUUUAGUCGUUUUCCUAGUCAAAAAGUCAAAAUACAGAAGUGCAAUUUCAUUGUUGAAAGCUAAAAUAGAGUUCUGACUAGUCAAGGGUAUUUUGGUCUCUUGGUCCACAGAGCUUCAAAUUGAAUGAUUUUUUAUGGAUUGGAAAGUAACUCAACGAGUUACAAUUUUCAUGUUGUGUAAAAGAACUACUUCAGCCUCUAAUAUCAAGAAACUUUCAGUUGAAGUUGGACAAAAACAAAGUAAGGAUGAAUUCUGUCCAAAAAGUACAAACCUGCAAAGGAGAAAACGUGAGGUGCAAUAUGCGACCUAAGGUUGCAUUUUUGAGAUCGUGUGUUCAUUAUUUUCAGCUGCAACUUGUUCUUUGUUCACACAACUUUUCAUCUCAAUUCUAGCAAGCAAUUUCGGCUGUAUCUGAUCAAGAAGAGUGUGAAAACUUAGAGAACAACUCUUGGUGAGUUCAAAAGCCAACUUUGCCAAUUAAGAAACAACUCACCUUGAGUUUGAAUUCUCUAUAAAUAGCAGCCUUUGGAGAUUACUUUCAUAACUUUGGAAGACAACAGAAACUCAUAAAAAAUGUAGUCUUCACUAGAAUUCCCUUAAUUCAUUAGCUAGAGUAGUAUAGUAUAGGUAGUGUAGUUUAUUCUCCUUGUAUUUGUAGUUAGAUUUGGAUGAAAAAUCAAGCAGCAAAGAUGGAAAGGUUGAUUUCAUGUGAUAAGAGUGAUAUCUCUUCUAUUACUUUCUCUCUUGUAUUUGAUUUCAUGUUUAGUUAUAAUACAAGUUUGGAUUUGUAUUUUUAUCAUGUUUAGUUAAAGUUUAUGCCUAAAGUUAUGGAUGAACUUACCAUAUCUUGUUAAUGAAGUUUGCUUGGUUAUUUGAUGAUAUUAUUUUGAACAAGUUAUUUAUCAUUUUCACUUUUUUAAUCAUGAUUAACUGACUAUUAAUUAUGAUAAUUUUAAGGUGUUAAAUUUACAAUGAAAAUUAAGAUUUAACACUAGUUAAAGGAAGUGAUAAAUCUACGGAGUUCACUUACGAGAGUAGAGGAGCACCUUUGUGGAUUUAGUGACUUGUUUCAUGUAAUUUAAUAGAAGGAAUGAGUUUGUAGUUAAUUUCAUAACCACGAGAGUAGGUAUGAUUUAAUUAUAAGUAUAGUUGAUUCACUAUGAGCGUAGGUUUCACAUACAUUAGGAAAUUAUGCCUUAACUAACUAAGAUAAUAGCAUUCAUUUAACUAAUAAAUUUAUUUACAAGAGUAGUAAGGAAUUUCAUACUUUUAUGAAUUUUCUAGUGUUAUUUUUAUCACUUUUAUCUCAUGUUUAUAGUGUAGAUUUAAUCUUUUACGUUUGUGAUAGUCUAAAUAAUAAAGGAGUCCGAAAAUUAUUGAUAGUUGACAAUCUUCCUUGUGGGAUCGACACCUAAUACCCCUAUACUGAAUAAACAAUUCGUAUAUUUGUAACAAAUCGCGUGUGGAGUAUUUAGAAUUUUAUAAAUGUAAAACUUAAUUGUGGAUGAACUAAUUAUAUAUGUAUACUCCGCGCUUGUCAAUUAUUUUGGUCCCCAAUCUAAUCAUCCGUGUGCAUAUUUGGUCUACAAUCUAUUUCUAAAAGUAAAUGUAGUCCCCAAUCUUUCUAAGUUUGCUUGAGAGUGUGCAGUUGACGGAUUUUGUCCAAUUUUCAAGAAAAAUGAUGGCACGUGCAGUCACGUGCUUUGACUUAAAAGGUUUUCAUUUUGGGUUAAUUACUUUUACCUCUCUUGAGGUCUAACCAAUUUACUAAUUCAAUCUUCAGAUUUGGCCAAAUGACAAUCGGAUCUUUGAAGGAAUAAAUGUGUAUCAAAAACCACCUUAGAAAGAAAAGGUAGAAAAUAGUAAAAGAAAAUUGUACAAAAAAAUAAAACAAUAAAUACUACAAGUUAGAAAAAAACAAUCACAACAAAAUUCUAUACACAAAAGAAAAAAUACACAUAUGUUUUGUCCAAUAAAAGAAAUACAUUAAAAUUAAAAAAGGGAACCAAAAUGAGAAUUACACGUUUGAAAAAAAUCACAAAAUUCGUCUAAAUCUUCUUUGAACAAAAAAAGAAAAACAAAUUUUUUGAGAAACAUUUUUUGAAAUGAAAGAAAUGCUUACUCAAAAAUCAAAAAAUUAGAAACUAGAUGACAUUAUAUUUUUUACCAAAAAUAGAAUAUACUAUAUGCCUAGAAGAAACCUAGAACUACAUCAAAUCAAAAUGGCAAAACUGGUCUAAAGCUUGACGAAGGCCGUUAGAUGGCUAAGCAUUGUAGGAAAUUUGAAAUCAAGGUUGAUGAAGGGUUUUGGAGUUACGGGACUUUGGUUCUUAAUUCAUGAAUCUUUGAACUCGUAGUCGGCGGCACUGACCCACCACUACCACCAGUUGGAGAACCUUGCUUAAAUUAGCCAUAUAAGAGUCAUCCAUAUCCCCCAUGAUCUGGCAUAGAAUAGAUUGCUCUUGGCUUGAGGAUAUUGUCAUGGACUCGGGUAGAAAAUACUCCCACUCCUCCAUUUUGCAUGUUUCAAUGGCCACUAUGACAGUGGUGCCAACACUCAACUCAAGAGUUAAUGGCAGUGUGGAAUAGGUUGGAGUUCACAGUCAGCAACAACAUCCAAUUCAGACAACAUUUGAGCUAGUGUUAGUAAAGAGGGCAUCUUUGGGCCAUUUGAUUGAUGAAUUUCCUUAAACUGUCAUCACCUCGGUUAUAUAUGUAGAGGUAGCACCAUCGCCGCCACCACCAGCUGCACCUCUAAGCUGUUGCAGCUGCCACUCUUUCUACAAAAAAUCACCUAGUUCACUAUUUCUCCUCAAAUUGGAAACACCAUAAUCCACCAAAAGAGAAAAUAGGAAAGAAAGAAAUUGAAUAUAACUCAAAUUAUACCAAGUGUAUGUGACUGUCCUAAAUUAGAGAAACCCACUACAAAUAUCUCAAAUUGAGUUAGUGGUAGCAGAGGGGCCAGUUGUAGAGGCGAUGGGCGUCAAACAGUUAUCACCGAAGUUCAGCCCCUGCAGGUGGAGUUGCUGUCCUUUUUUUGCUACUAUGGUUGCUCUUCUGAAAAAAUAGUCAAGAAUAGACAAGAAGUUAAUUAUGAGAGGUCCAAAACGAAAAGCAUGCGAGUCAUGGCACGUGACUUCCGUUAGAAAUUUGACAAAAUCUGUCAAUAGUCCACUUUUGAACACAAUUGAAUAGAUUGAGAACCACAUUUACUUUCAGAAAUAGAUGAAGGAUCAAAUGCGCCACAGAUGAUAAAUUGAGAACCAAAACUACAAUUCUCCCAUUUUAUAAAAUAUGGUAAAUUACACUUUACCCCGUAGUUUAGUACUUUUUCAUAUAACCCCCAUAUAGUUCAAAAAUAAUACAUAAUCCCCUCAUAGUUUGAAUUAAAGUAUCAAAGUGACGAAAUUUGCAAUUCAUAGCGAAGUCAACUGAAAUGUCAAAAAUAUCUCUAUAUAAAGUUGAAAAUUAUUUAUUUACCGUAGGAGGGUUAUGUGUGUAUUUUGAAAAGUAUAAGGAGGUUAUAUCGUAAAAUAUAAAACCAUAUGGGGUUAGGGUGUCACACAUAUCAUGUUUAUAUAUUUUGAUCAUUUCAGCUAUAAUACUCACAAUAAGAUAUUGGAAACAAAUAUGUCUAAUUAAAAUUUGUUAAAAUAGUUGCUUUAUCAUUUGUUAUUAAUUAAACAUGUCAACAAUUCAAUCCUCAUCCAAACAUCUAAAGUAGAACCUUUUUUUUACUACCUCCUGACAUUGGGGAAAAGCCACUCUAACAUCAAAGUUAUUGUUAAAGAAGGUGCCAUACAAUUUUUUUUUUAUUUUUAGCUGCCAUACAAAAUUACCAAAGAAGUGGCUUACAUGAAGGCAUCUAGUCUUAGAGAGAUCUCACUUGGCCUGUUUUAAUAAAUUAACAAUAUUCCUUGCAAAAUCUCAUGACUAGUAACUAGGUCAAACUCAAAAUUGCCAAGAGAGACUAAUGAACCACACCGGAUACAUAGAAUUAGACUAUACAAAAAUUUAACCUCUAUGCAGGAUUCGAAAGAUGGCGUCAGGAAAAGGGUUUAGCUUCUUACACUCUCUGAAGCUGAGAUAUUACAUUAUAGCUUCAAAGUAGCAUGAAAUAAACCUAAAACAGAUAUGUCCAAUUGUACAUAAAGUUGAUGAUUAGCUUCUAGAGGAAAAAGACAAAUACUCUUGUUUCUACGGUUGCAUGGAUGUCCAAUUGUACAUAAAGUUGUGAUGACAUCACCUGUCUAGUACUCCAAAAACAACCCUGCUUCGCAGACGAGUCCUAGGUACAUGCACAUUAGACUUUUAUUAUUUUUGUUAGAACAAUAAAAAUCCAAUAAAUUUACAGUACAUUUUCAUGGAAACAAGAAUCAUGCCAAAUGUUCAAAGAUAAGAUUAGUAUGCAACCAAUAAUAUCAAAUUUCAAUAGAAAUACAGUUAAAAUAAGAUAAUACAAAGUUUUAUUAAAAAAAUUCUACAAACUUGGAUCAGAUAUCUAAUGCAAAAAUAAUAAGUGCAAGCGGUGAUGCAUAUCUGUCUUAUAUGCACAAUGCAUAUCCCAGACUUCAACUCAUUGGCAGUGAAACACACACACACACACACUUUCUCUUUCUAUCUCUCUCUCUUUCAGAGUUAUGUCUAAUAUUCCAUUGCCAAAUAACCAUUUCUCGAUGUAAAUGCAUGAGUUUUGAACUUUUGAUUUGGUACCACAGUAAAUUUAUAUACAACAAAUAUCUCAAGAAUGAAGUUAAGAUCCUAGCAAGUGCCAGUAGAUUCUUUCUAAACCCCAUCACAUCUAAGGUCUAUUCUUCUUGUUCUCCAAAUGGUGAAAAAUGAAAAAUUUCUGUGGCAUGUUAAGAAUCAUCCAUUGCUUCUCCGUGUUGAUUUUGAGAGUAUUUUUUCUUGAUAUAAUUAUUUCUUGAUCAAUUGGACUGAAGAUAGUUUGAUUAUUGGAAGUUUUAGAUUAGUUUCCUUGAAGGAUUAAGUUGACAUUUAUUCAGUCAGUGCACACAUGAUUCCACCUAGCAGUACAAACUUUGGCGAUCCAAUUUUGCUUAUGAAAUUUGUCAAUGCCCCUUGAUACUUAAGAAAACUUGCCAUGGCUAGUUUGUAUGAAACUAAGAUUGGAAAGACAGAUAUACAAAGAAAAUAAUGCAUUAUUACUCAUUGUUAAUAUGUCAUUAUUUGAAUGAUCUUACAAAAGUAAGUGAACUAAUGUAUUAAAUACUAAACUUUUUGUAUUACCAAACAAUCUUUAUACGUCAAUGCUCAUGUGUUACAAAUAUGAACCUAAUAGCAUUUUUCAAUAUUAACCAAAAAAGCAUCAUCCAUUGGUUUUCUCAAAAUUGAUCAUUAUUGUUUGUUAUUAGCUCAAAGCCUCAACAACCAUUAGUAUAAACUAAACUCUGCAACCAUAGCUGAAAUCACAAUAGUUAUUCUUCAGCUUUUCGGCCAUGAAAAGAUACUAGCUAAUUUGCUAGGAUAGGCUGUUUUGGGCCAAUAGUCUCGACUUUUGUUCCAUCAAAAAUUUCAUGGAACACAAAUAUUGAAUGCACUGCAAUGUAAGACCAAUAUAUAACAAAUAUAAACUUGGAAAAACAAAAAAAAAAAGAUUACAACUGUAAUUGAUUUUUAUGUCAAAUACUACAAAUAAUAAUUAAAAAAAACUCUCACAAGAAAAUAUAUACGUAAAAAAAAUUAUUAAAUGAGGAUUUCUUGAGGCUACCUAGGUAUUGCUUACAUUUUUUAUGUUUCUUUUUCUUAAAAGUCAACAUGCAUAGUGUUUUCGUGGCACUCAAAUCAUGUUUUCUUAAAAACAAAAAAAAAGUAUAUUGUAUCCAUGUUUUAGGCAAUUGAAGAUUGAAAUGAUAUAAAAGAAAUUUUAAUAGCAAUUUCUUCAUUUUUUAACAUAACUGAAAAAAGAAUAAUUAUAACUGGAUGAUCAACUAACCUUCUCAAAAGAUAAUUGCUACAAGGUGUUAUGUGCUGCUGACAUUUUUUUUUGUUGCAUGUAUUAAUACAUUCACUUUAGAAUUCCUGAAGAAGUGUCUAACAUAGGAUGAUCCAGGGACGGUUGAGUAGUGGCGGAGCCAUGUUCAUCUCUGGGGUCCAAUUGCAGCCCCUCAAUUUUUCUUUCUAAUGUUUUGUUUUACGAAACAUUGAACUUUUUUAUGUUCAAUAAUACGAAUUACAAGCGAAAUAAAUAUUUUAUUGACAUUCCAAUUCUGUAAAAGUUACUAGCCUAGUUUAUAUAAUAGACUUUUACAUUUUGCAGUAUUUUGCACAUUUUAAAGUUCUAUGCAAUUAUAAAAUAACAUAACAUGAUAACUUUUACUAAUGGUUAAUCACAAAUAGCAAAUACCUUUUUUUAAAAAAAUUUGUAAUAUUAAGUAAAUUGAUUGGUGUACUUAUAGUAAAUAUUUAAUUAUAGUAAAAAUUUCUAAACAAACAUACUUUAAAUUUAAGCUAAUAUUAGUGUUACACCCUUGAACAAAAGUCCUGGCUUCAUCACUGCGGUUGAGGGUGAGAAUCAUAGGCUUUAGGUCGCUGAGACAUGCUGGCAGAAGCAAGCGGGAGGGAAAUGGAAUUAUGUUUGCAUAGAUUGACAAAAGGCAAGACUACUGUGUUCUCCACUUUGCCUUGACACAGUGAGAUGGGUGACAAGAAAGAAAGGCCAGUGUCUUCUCCAACUAACCUUGCUACAGAUUAGUUGAGGAUCGACUUGGUAUGCAAAUAUUCAAAAAGCAUUGCUAAAUUUGUUGAAUACCGAGAAAUGAAGGGUCACCAAUGGCUUGUAAGAUGGAUCCAAUAAGUGAUCAAAUUUCAUGACUUUUACAGGGCGAGUGAGCUGCUCAUCCCAAAAUAUUCUAUCAAAUAGGAAUUAUCAAUGCUUGUCCAUCUUGCUUACUGUGCAUCAAUAGCAACCAAGAAUCAUACAUGGAUGUUUCCAUUUUUGAACUCUUAUGAUAGAAAAGAUGUACAUAUAUACCAUCCCAUGACCUUGAGAGAACAUAGCUCACUAUAAGAGAAUUAGUUGCUCUAUGCAAAUAUUGGCAGAGGAAACUGCACUGGGUAUAGAGGGAGAGGUCAUAUAGUAAGACCCUUAGAACUUUAACUUUUAACAGAAUUCAAAAGAAAAAGGGAAGUCAACAGAUUAGCCUCUUAGCUACGUAGUCUCCAUGAACUCUAUGCUAACCAGGUGCCUAAGCUUUGUCAACAUUAAGGUAUUAGGGAAUAAAGCCAAGUUCCUUACGCUAACUCGGAAGAGGCUUGUUUCCACAUCAUUCUGUAGCUCAAGGUCUUUGACCUUGAUCUCUCCUUGUAUUUCAGAUGUCUGGUCUCGUAUAAGACUACAUACUUGGUAGAAGACUACGCUUACGGUAGGGUUGUAUGAUUGCAUACAACUCUUACCAUUCUUUCUGUUCAAAUACAUAGCAUAGCAAUUGCAACCGUUUGACCUAAAACACUGUCAAAAUUGUACCAUAUGGAAAACAGGAGUUUAAACAAUUCUAACACAUCAUCCAGAGUUUUAAACAUUUCCUCACAACAUCACAUAAUUUGAGAAAAAGUCACUAAACUGUAAACACUAACGUAUUACAAAUACUUCUCUCCACCAAGCAUAUCUAUAUCCUUGGACUUAAAAUAUGACAUGCACUUCAUAUUCACUAGCAAAACCAAGCCAAUAGCCUGAAUAUAUUAUAAGAUACAAAAAACCGUGUCAAUUAAUUCCAGAAAUAUAUAACCAACAUCUAUACCAUCUCAAGGCACUAACAAUGAUUCCAUCAAACACAAAACAAGAGGGAAAAAAGCCAAAAAAGAUUGCAUUACAUUGCAGAAGGUGGACUCAUGCUAAAAGUAUUAUAAGAAUAGGCAUCAAAAUUAAGAAAUAGAACUAGGCAACUUGUCUUACCAUAGCUUAGGAGGUACCACCGUAAAUCUUAUAUUUUUCAACGAUUUGCACUUGACAAGAAGGGCAAUAUUCUCCCACAAUCAAACUACAGUCGAAGCAUACAACUUGAUGGGAACAAGGCAUGAAAAGAACAGAAACUUCUUUUUUGCAACAGACAAUACAACGCCUGUGAUCAGGAAUGAGCAUUGCUUGAGCCAAGUUUUGUGAGCUUCCAGCCUCUGAAACACCUGAAGCCAACAAGUGUUGUGUCUUGAGAUGGGAUGCUUCUAGCUUGACCUCUCCUUAUCAUCUAUCACACAUCGACGUUCUGUCUCUAAUUCUUGCUCCAAUGACUUCUGUUGCAAUUCUAGUUGGUUUGUUUUCCUCUGAAACUAGAAUGUGUGCUUGCUUUUUUUUGUCCAUUUCUUUCAAAAUAAGAGUAAAUGAAAAUAAAAGAGCAAAUAAGAGUAUAAUGAAGUACUUUGAGUAUCAAUAAGUAUGGCUAAGUUAAAAUGCAAUUAAAGGCAUCAUAAGUACUAAUAAUGUGUAUGCGUCUCUUAAAAUGUACUUUAAAGAAUUUUUUUUUUACUAUUUGAGUCUAUAUCAUCAACCAUGGAAACAAGAUAUCAUAAAAGUAAUCUGAAUGAUAUGUUUAACAGCAUACUAGAAAAGUUCUGAAUCUGACAACUUUCUAUAAUUUUGGCCCAUGUAGGUUUGGAAACUUGCAAUGAUCCCAAAAGAGUUUAUUACAAUGCAUUUACAAACUAAAAGAACUACUUCAUUCUCUUUGGAGUAUUAGUUCAGUUGUACACAUUGUGUUGUUGAGAGCCACGAAUCAAUUUAUUGAUAUACCCAAUGAGAUUAAAGAUUGUAAGCAAGGCCCCAGUAGGAUCUAUUCAACGGAAGUGCUCAAGAUCUUUUCUCACCAAAAAAGAUAAUAAAAUAAUAAAAACAAUGUACAAGAUAAUCUUAACACCACAUUAGCACAGAUGAUUUGUGGUACAAAAAGUGGUGACAAAUUAGGAUAUUCUAAUUUAGGAACUUCACGAAAGAGAAAAACAAAAUUAAACUGUUAACUACGUACUCCUUGAGGAGGAAACUGUAGGUCUCUUUUUUUCGAGGAAAAACAAAAGUUUUCUUCUAACUUAAUACUUAUUUAUCACAAACUAAUACUAUUAGAGCAUAAAAUGUCACUCACAUGGCAAAAUGUAUGGAUUAAUUAAUAUGUGUGGUGCAUCCACAAACAAAAUAUGAUCUUUAUAUGUCGUUCAUGAUGUUUCUUUAGAUCUCCUCACUUGGAUCUUACAUAUCAAGAAUGUUAAGCUAAACGAUCAAUAACCAUUCAUAAUGAGGUCAAUUAAGUUCCUCAUAGUUGACAACAUAUUAAACCAAGAAAAAGGAGAAAGUUUCUUCACUAGCCUAUUAUGCAGUGCAAUGAGGAUUAUUGAAUGAAACAAAAAAAGAUAAAAAAAAUCUGAUUGACAUCUUGAAGUGAUUUUAUUUCACUAUUUGAUACUUUCAAUAUGUGUGAGCUUACAAUUGGCGAUUAUGCAAACUUUAUAUUGCUUCUAUAAUCAUAUUGAUGAUAUUGGGAACCUAAAUCUAUAUGGAGAUUCAUCAUUGCCCUUUCUUCUAGUUAUGUUGUCAAAAGGUAUAAAACUAUUGUAUUCACUAGCAAAUCCAGUGACUUGUUUUUUUAAAGUUAUCAAUACUCAACAAAAUUUGUAUAAAUUCUUCAAUGUAGUGAUGUUACAAGUACUAAACUUUUUCUUUAAGAUAAUGUAGUGUAAUAGUCAUCAGAGCUAUAAAAGUGGAAGCUCACUAGCAAUGCUAAACAUGUCAAUUAUUAUUCAAAAAGUAGAUGCAUAUGCAGGCUUUUAAGAAAAAUAGUAUAUAAUUCAAAUAAUCUCGAAAAUAACAAGAUUUUACUUUUAUUGUAACUAUAUUAUAAACUCAUUAGUUUUUUUGGCUUAAAUAUUGGGAUAAAAUUAUAUUUAAGAUGACCAAGUAGUCAAACAAAGCUCAUUCUUCUAUUUUUUUUCUUUUUUUUUUGGAGCUUCAUUUCCAUACACAAUAUAGACACACGGUAAACACAGCAAUCAUGUAAGGGUUUUGUAGUUCACUAAAGUGCAAAAAAAAAAAAAAAAUCAAUUGUAGGUUUUGUAAAUAGGAGAAAAACGUCUCUCUGCUAGAACAACAAAACUUUUCUCCUAUCUUAAGGAAUGUGAGUUUGAAGGAAAGAUUUGUUUUAUCAUUAAUUUCGAACAUUCGAUACAUAUGCAGAUAGUGUCCAUUGAUCAAAUUCGAACCAAAUAGGAAGUAUCAUGGAAGUACAAUGCAACAUAAAUCACAGCCAAAUUAAGUCAAAGUUCAUCAGUAAACAAGCACGUACCUUGGCCUCUCCUUGGGUUUGAACAAUAUUUUUCAACACCACUUCUUGUUGAAGAAUCUUUUCUUUCUCUGGAUUAAUCAGACUUUUUGUCAUGCUAAUGUGUUUUUCUAAGCUUUCUAUUUUUUCAAGGCCUUCAUUUUCCUUUUUCACAACCUAUUUCAGAUUCUUCUUUGAUUCUGAUUCAUUCAUUUUAAUGGUAGUGAGCUCAGCUCGAAGACUAAGAUUUUCAACCUGAACUUUUUCCAAUUCUUCAUAUAGCCUGUUGAGCUGACCAUUUGCGGUUCUUCUGGCUUUUUCUUUCUUUAACAUCAUUUUAGACAUAGAAGUUGGGAGUUCCUCUUUCUCCAUAGCCAGUUGCUCUCUCUUUUCUUUUUCCGAACUUAGCUUAAUUAACUCAUGAGUAUGACUAACCAUAUUCGCUUUCACUUCCCUUCUUUUCUUCAGUACCCAAUUUAUUCUAUCUUCCAGUUGUUGCUCAAGACUUCGUAUGAGUUCUUCCAUGCUGAAAAUAAUUUCAUUUAUUUGCUCUUCAAAAUAAUUUCUAGGUCUUGUAAAGAAUUUUUCUACUUGCUUGUCUUUAGAGUGCUUAGAAUCACAAUUGUCCCCUUCUUUCUCAUGUCCCAAUUCAAAUUUGAUACCUGAGAUAUUGAUUUGCUUGUUGUUUUCUUUGGAUUUAUGAGGAUUAGAUUUCCACUUUUUCUUCUUGUGCUUUCCUUUCCUAGAGGCAGCCAUCAAUGCAGAUUAAGCUGCAAGAAGAAAAAUGAAAGGGCCACAACAUUCAUUAGUUGCAAUAAUAUAUAAGAUGUCAUUGAAAAAUCUAGAAAAAGCAAAAAGAGAAAGAAUUAUGCAUGGAAAUUAACAUGACAAUAAUGUUGCCGCAUAUUGGAAAUCAGGUUUGACAUAAUCUGAAGUGCACAAGGCAACACAAGAAAAUAAAAAGAACGAUUUCCUUAGUAUUCUUCACAAUCUUUUGUUUUCUAAUUUUGAGUAAGCCCAUUGAUUAAGUCCACAUAUAGAGUAAGCUUAUUAAGCCCACUUAUUAAGUCCACAUAUAGAGUAAGCCCACUUAAUUUUGAGUAAGCUUUUGAUUUUGGUUCAUUUCCUUAGCUUUCUUUCCUUGGGUUGCUUUUGAUUUAGAAUUGCCAAAAAAAUUAAAACAAGAAAGAAUCUAACUAGUAAAUGAGUCUAAAUGCAAUAUACAAAAAUGACAAUGAAAUUCAAGUGAAAUGUCGAAAAGAUGGUCACCUCGUGAUUCACGUUAUAAUGCAGAGAGAACUGUCGGUCGUUGCAAAAGAAAGAUGAAGAUAUUUGUAUAAAAUUUAUGUGUAGAAAGAGAGAGAGACAGAGAGACUCAAGUCAAUUCGAGUUAACAAAGUAGAAGCGGUGCCCUUUUGGAAAUUGAGCAGAUUGAGUGAAAGAAAAAGUGAUGAGUAAGAUUGAAUUGUCUUUUUGAAAAUCAAGAAAAGUGACUGAAAUAUAAAGUAAUGAAUAGGAUUGAAAUGUCUUUUUUAAAUUGAAAAGUGUGAGUGAAAGACAGAAUGUUGUGUAGGAUUGAAAUAUCUUUUCGAAUAUUAAGAAGAGUGAGCGAAAGAGAAGGUGAUGAGUAAAAUUGAAUGAGAGUGAAAGAGGGCGGGACAAUUGUUAGAUAUGAGCAUCCAAAUAAUGCACGGCCAUUAUUUGACCUACAAUACAAAGUUCAACAAUAUGAGACACUUAAUCUUGAUGGAUAAGUGUGAACGAUAAUUGAACACCAAAUUGUAGUUACGAAGAUUGACAAUUUAGUUUGUGAUUAAUUACAAGAUAUUUUCAUUUGACUUAGAUUUUGCAAAGCUAAUUAUGGGAAGUGAUUAUAAAGAAUAAUGAAAACCAACUAAAGCUAUAUUUAUUGAUUUGAGGGAUUUUAGUAUUUAGGUUAUUAAAAUAUAUAAAAUGAAAGUGUAAACAUAAUAAAAAACAUAAAAAAACUGGUACUUCAAAAUCAAAAUCUAUAAGCCGGUGAAAUAAUAAACCAAAAUAAGCCCUAAAGUAUAUUAUAUCAUUCAAGAACAAUUUCAUUGAUAACUAUUCUACCUCUCUUUGAGCGAGAGGGGUUGAGCGAAAAAGUGAGAGAAUAGGUUAAUAAGCAAGCAAUUCAGUAAAAGAAAUUUUUUGGGUAUUAAAGGAAGUGAUGGAGGAUGAGAAAUAGUAUUAGGUCAUAGAAGAAAAAGAAUUUUUAUAUAUAAAUAUGAGUCAAAAAUCUUAUUAUUAAAGAUAUAGAUGAACUAUUAUUUGGACUUCAUUUUUAAUAUCCCUUUCCCAACUAUGUAAUAUCUAUUAAACCCUAAAACAUAAAAUUGCUUGAUAAAAUUCUUGUUAGACAAACUACAACCUCAUAAAAAAAAAUCUCUUACACACAAUUAUAUUCAUACAAAAAUUAAUCUCACAACAAAUCACUUAUUCUUGUGGUCACAAAUUUUGAUCAUAGUCCUUUGCACAAUAAUUUAGGGAAAAUAAGUCUGAUAGUCCUACAACUUUUAUCAAUGAUUUCAUUUGGUCCCUUGGUUUUAAAAAGUAUCUAUUAGAUCUCUCAAGCAAUAAAUUUGGCUCUAAAUGGUUUGUCCAAGCCAAAUCUAAGCAUUAUGAUUGUCACUUUGUCCUCUUCAGCUCUAAGUCAUAAAUGUCUCUUUUCUCUCUCUAAGUUUAAAAUAUAGCAUAUUAACCCUUGUUAAAUAGUUAAUGAUUGACUAAUUUGACUAACAAAAGAUUGUAUACUAUCCUUCGUACAAUUUACAUAAAGUAGGGGAAAAAGGGAUGAAAUACCCCUCUUUGACAAAUGACAAACUUAAUAUUACUUUAUGCUUACAGAACUUUGCUAACCUUUAUUUAUAGUUAUCAUUCAUCAUUAUAAUUAUUUCUUGAUAAGGUCUCAUAAAGCUAAAAUAAUGUACAUAAAAGUAAACAUUAACCCAAUGGAAUACAAAAUAUAUUUCCAAAAAUAAAUGAAAGAGAAUCUAUUUGCUUUCUCAAUUUAUUAUUUAUUUUUAGUCAACACUUUUUGAGAAUAUGAUAAAUUUUGACAAUAUGAGAAAACGAUAAACAUAAAUAGGUACUCCUAUUUAUUUCUUCUGUAUUUGGUUUUUUCUUUAGGUUGCUUAAGUUCUACAUUGUUUCAUCUUUUUUCACUAAGUUUUGUUGUUAGAAUAUGAAUAAUUUGAUAAAUUGGAUAAUAAAACAAUAAUACUCAUAACAAGAUAUUGGAAACAAAUAUGUCUAAUUAAAAUUUGAUAAAAUAGUUGCUUUCUCAUUGUUAUUAUUAGUUAAACUAGUCAACAAUUCAAUUCUCAUCCAAACAACUAAAGUAGAACCUUUUUUUUACUGCCUCGUGAAGUUGGAGAAGAGCCAACCUCACAUCAAAGUUAUUGUCAAAGAAGGUGCCAUACAAUUUUUUUUUUUUUUUUACUUUUUAGCUGCCAUACAAAAUUACCAAAGAAAUGGCUUACAUGAAGGCAUCUAGUCUUAAAGAGAUCUUUUUUUUCCCUUACAGCAAAUAACACACACACAAAAACUAAUAAAUACACACGCACAAGCAGUUAACGAGAGAACGGCCUAGAAGGCAGUUUAAGGGGGAUCCACAAACCAACACCAUCCAGCCAAUUGGUGACAGGAGGUACGGCUGAGAAUCUUAAACCCAAAGUAAAGACCCCACAAUCUUUCGAUGUGGGAUGGUUUGCCCAACCCCCCGCCCGUGCACACACACUCACCAGCCAAUGGGUUUGUAUUUUUUCCCUUUCGGCAAAUAACACACACACACAAACUAAUAAAUACACACUCACAAGCAGUUAACGAGAGAACGGCCCAGAAGGCGGUCUAAGGCGGACCCACAAACCAACACCAUCCAACCAAUUGGUGACAGGAGGUGUGGCUGAGGACCUUAAAUUCAGAGUAAAAACCCCACGAUCUUUUGAUGUGGGAUGGUUAAAGAGAUCUUACUUGGCAUGUUUUAAUAAAUUAACAAUAUUCCUUGCAAAAUCUCACGACUAGUAACUAGGUCAGACUCAAAAUUGCCAAUAGAGAAUAAUGAACCCCACAAGAUACAUAGAAUUAGACCAUACAAAAUUUUAGGCUCCAUGCAGGAUCCAAAGGACGACAUCAAGAAAAGGGUUUGGCUUCUUACACUCUCUCAACCUGAGAUAUUACAUGAUAGCUUCAAAGUACCAUGAAAUAAACCUAAAAUAGAUAGGCCCAAUUGUGCAUAAAGUUGAUGAUUAGCUUCUGGAGGAAGAAGACAAACACUGUCGUUCUUGCGGUUGCAUGGAUGUCCAACUGUUCAUAAAAUUGUGAUGGCAUCACUUGUCUAAUACUCCAAAAACAGCCCUGCUUCUCCGGCGGGGUCUAGGCAUAUGCACGUUAGACUUUUAUUACAUUUUUUUAGAACAACAAAAAUCUAGUAAAUUUACUGCACAUUUUCAUGGAAACAAGAAUCAAGUCAAAUGCUCAAAGAUAAGACUAGUAUGCAACCAAUAAUAUCAAAUUUCAAUAGAAAUAAAAUUCAAAUAAGAGAAUACAAAAAGUUUUAUUAAAAAAAUUCUAAAAACUUGGAUCUGAUGUCUAAUGCAAAAAUAAUAAGUGCAAGCAGUGAUGCAUAUCUAUCUUAUAUGCACAUUGCAUAUCCUAAACUUCAGUUUAUUGGCAGUGAAACACAUACACACACACACACGCACACACACACACUCACUCUCUCUCUUUAAGUACCAUUUCUCUGUGUAAAUGCAUGGGUUUUGAACUUUUGAUUUGCUACCACAGUAGAUUUAUAUAUAACAAAUGACUCAAGAAUGAAGUUAAGAUCCUAGCAAGUGCUAGUAGAUUCUUUCUAAACCCCAUAACAUUUAAGGUCUAUUCUACUUGUUCUCCAAAUGGUGACAAAUGAAAAAUUUCCUGGGCAUGUUAAGAAUUGAUCAUUUCAUUGUUUCUCCAUAUUGAUUUUCAAAAAGUUGUCUUAAUAUAAUUAUUUCUUGAUCAAUUGGAUAGAAGAUAGCUUAAAUCUUGGAAGUUUUAGAGAAGUUUCCUUGAAAGAUUAAGUUGACAUUUAUUCAACCAGUCCACACAUGAAUCCACCUAGGAGUACAACUUAAAAAAAAAAAUUCUAGAAUAGGUUAUAAAAAUUUGGAUUUUUUUAAUAUUGUUCCUCUCUUUCCCCCCCUGAAUUUUGAUAAUAUUCCUUUUAAUCCAACAACUGCCUCUCGAAAGUGUUAAAACCGUUUGCAAUUGCUCUUAACAGUUCUAAUGGAACAUUGAAACAAAAUAUAUUACACAAUGCUAUUUCUUCUUUCUAAUGUUUUGUUUUAUGUAACAUUGAACUUUUUUAGUUGUUGACUAAUAAGAAUUACAAGCGAAAUAAACAUUGCUUUGACAAUCCAGUUUUGUACAAGUUACUUGCCCAGUUUAUAUACUAGAUUUUACAUUAUGCAGCCUUUUGCACAUUCAUCUAUGCGCACAUUUGGUCCCUAAUCUAUUUCUGAAAGUAAACGUAGUCCCCAAUCUAUCCAAUUUUGCGUGAGAGUGUGCAAUUGAUGGAUUUCAUCCAAUUUUUAAGAGAAAUGAAGUUUUUCAUUUUGGGUUACCUCUCUUGAGGUCUAAUUGAAUUACCAAUUCAAUCUUGAGAUUUGGCCAAUUGACAAUCAGAUCCUUGAAGGAACAAAUGUGUUUCAGAAACCCCCUUAGAAAGAAAAGGUAGAAAAUAGUAAAAGAAAAUUUUACAAAAAAGUAAAGUAAGAAACACUACAAAGUAAACAAAUAAAGAACAAUCACAACAAAUUUCUAUGCAUAAAAGAAAAAAUGCACAUCUUUUUUGUCCAAAAAAAAAGAAAGACAUUAAAAUUAUCAAAAAAAGGAACCAAAAUGAGAGUUGCAUGUUUGAAAAAAUAUCACAAAAUUUAUCUAAAUCUUCUUUGCACAGAAAAAGAAAAACAAUUUUUUUAAGAAAACAUUUUUUGAAAUGAAAGAAAUACAUACUCAAAAAAUCAAAAAAUUAGAAACAAACUAUUUUUGACCAAAAAUAGAAUAUACUAUAAGCCUAGAAGAAACCAGAACUACAUCAAAUCAAAAUGGCAAAACUAGUCUAAAGCUUGACGAACGCCCUUAGAUGGGUAAGAAUCUUAGGAAAUUUGAAUUCAAGGUUGAUGAAGGAUUUUGGAGUUACGGGACUUUGGUUCUUAAUUCACGAAUCUUUGAACUCGUAGUCGGCGGCACAGACCCACCACCACCCACCACCAGCAAUUGGAGAACCUUAUUUAAAUUAGCCAUAUAUGGGUCAUCCACGUUCCCUAUGAUCUAUCAUAGAAUAGAUUGCUCUUGGCUUGAGGAUGGUGUCAUGGACUUGGGUAGAAAACUCUCCCACUCCUCCAUUUAUGCAUGUUUCAAUGUCCACCGCGACAGUGGUGCCAACACUCAUCUCAAGAGCUAAUGGUAGUGUGGAAUAGGUUAGAGCUCAGAGUCAGCAACAACAUGCAACAUUUGAGCUAGUGUUGUAGAGGGGGCAUCUUGGGGCCAUUUGAUCGAUGAAUUUCCUUAAACUGCUAUCACCUCGAUUGUAUCUGUAGAGGCAGCAUCCCCGCCACCACCACCAGCUGCACCUCUAAGCUGUUGCAGCUGCCACUCUUUCUAGGGGAAACCACCCAGUUCACUAUUUCUCCUUAGAUUGGAAUCACCAUAAUCCACCAAAAGAAAAAUGGAAAGAAAGAAAUUGAAUAUAACUCAAAUUACAUCGAGUGCAUGUGACUCUCCUAAAUUAGAGAAACCAUCUCAAUUUUGAGUUGGUUGUAGCAGAGGGGACAGUGGUAGUGGCAAUGGGAGUCAAACAGCUAUCGCCAAAGUUCAGCCCCAUGCAGACAUAGUUGCUGCCUUUUUUCGCUACCGUGGUUGCUCUUCUACAAAAAUAGUCAGGAGUACACAAGAAGUUAAUUCUAAGGGGUGGUAAAUGUAAUUAAUCCGAAACAAAAUGCAUGCAAGUCAUGGCAAGUGACUUCUCGUGCGCCAUCAUUUCCAUUAGAAAUUAGACAAAAUAUGUCAAUUGUCCACUUUCGAACAAAAUUGAAUAGAUUGAGAACCACCUUUAAUUUAACAAAUAGAUUUAGGAUGAAAUAAUCGCAUAGAUGAUAAAUUGAUGAUCAAAACUACAAUUCUCCCAUUUUAUAAAAGGGAUAAUUACAAAAACCUCCCCUAAAGUUUCUGACAAUUUUACUGACGUCCCCUGAGGUUUUGACCAGUUUUGGCACAUUAUCAUUGACUUGUUGGGUCCUCUAUGCUAUUAAUUUUUCUAAAGUUGCCAUCGAUCUGACUUAAAUAGGACAAACUUAAGAGUUUAGAGUGCAAAGUAUCCAAAACUAAGAGUUUAUUGCACAUAGUGUUAAAAAUUGAAAUUUAGGGUGCAAAAUGAAAAGGUGAUACAAGCUUCUGGUGCAAAGUGGAGUUUGUCCUUUUUACUAAAUUUAAAUCCACAAGCAUUUCUUUAUCUCUUGCACAGCUUUUGAGAAAAUGUAAAAUUGAUAUUAACAUUGAAGGAUGAAAAUAUAAAAGUGCGAAAUUUUUUGGUGCUCUAAAAUGAAAACUUUUAUUUUUUGCAUAGGGAUUUAGCAUCAAAUCAUAAAUUUGCCUUAAGAGGGUGAAUUUUAUUUUGUACCAUUUAACUAUGUUUCAAUUUUUAUUUAGGCCUUGCAAUUAUAAAUUGAGACUCUUUAGUUCUUAAACUAUAAAAUUAUCCCACUUAAGUACAAUCAUUAACAUAAUCUCCAAAAUUAAUAGAAUACUAGUCAUUUGAAGAGCAUGAUUGCAUGUUACAAGGGCAUAGAAAGAAAAUUAGACUGAAUAACAACCUAAAAGAAAUUUCAAAAUUAGAAAAUAACAUAAGUUUAGGGUUUAAAAUGUCUUAAUUUAGAAUUCAGGGAACAAAGUAGGAAUCGGUGAAGUUUAGAGGUUAAAAUGCCAUAAUUUAUAGUUUAGAAACCAAAAUGAGAAUCAAGAUUCAGUUGGAAGGUCCAAAAUGAUUUUAAAAAAAAAAAGUGAACGGAAGGAAGAGGUUCCCGGAGAAGCUUGUGUGCUCUUGUUCAGAAUGAACUCCACGAUGUCAAACUAAUAUUUGCUUGUUAGCUUCAAAGGCCUCGUGAUUUCAACGGCUACUAGAAGUAUAGUUCAAAAGUUAGGUAGUGCGGUUAAAGAAGUGGCCAGAACCAAAGGCUCAAGCUGGUGGCACACACCCCACAUGGCUGCUGCUUCCCUCGCUAUUGCUGAACGUAUCCCUUUGGUUGAUUUCGUCCUCGAAGUUCGCGACUCAAGGGUAAGGCAGGGGGAAAAAUCUGGCUUCUGGGUCCUUUUAAUUGCAAACAAACUGUUUGCUGAAAUAUCUGAAUGAGUUGUCUCUUCUGUUUUUGCUUCUCUUUGGGUUUGUUUGUCCGCUGCCCUUGUACUUACGUUAUGAGUUUCUGAAUUUUAACGUUUGGGUUGUCAUCAUUUGGUUGAUUGACGAAGUAAAUAGUAGAAUAUUGAUGUUGAUUUAUGCAUUAAGGAACGUCUGUGUGCUUAUGCUCAUUUUAUUUAUUUAUUUUUAAAGUAUAUUUCUGCUUUGUUUGUUUAUUUUUCAAUUGCUUUUUUCUUCUUUUUGGUUCAGAUUUUUUUUUUUUUUUUGGUUUGUACGAUUCCUAGAUUCCUUUGUCAUCAGAAUGCAGCCAACUCGGUGAUUUAUUGUCUUCUCUGAGGCGUGUCAUAGCUUUGAACAAGGCAGACCUUGCAAAACAAUCAGAUAUGAAGGUGAGUAUCUAUCCUAAUAGUAAAAUUUGGUGGUAAUCAUGCAAGCUAUGAAUGUUGAACUCUUUGUUGCAGAAUGCUAGAUUUACAUCACCCUUUUGGCUAUCAAAAGAUUCAUUGUAUGUUUAAUAAAAGUUAAUCAUAUGCAUAACAUAACGGUUAUUAGGAUAUAUUAUCAUAGAAGAAUGACCAACAUGGGUUUGUGGACAAUUUGAAGUUGUUCUAGGAGAUUAGAUAGAAGCUGGAAAGUUUGAUGUCUAUGGUGAAUGCUGCUUAAUUUUACUUAAUCUAACUGAAGCAUUCAUUGAAGUUCAGUGUGAUAUGGUUCCACAAUAUUUGGUGAAAUAUCUUAUGUAAGAAAGUUGAUUAGUUGGCAUGACUAAUCAAAUUUUUGUUAGGCAGAAGUUCUCAAUCACUAGAUGGUGAAGUCUUUACAAGACAGUCCAUCCUAGGGUCUGAUGAUUGCUUCAAUUGCUUGGUGAUGAGAGAUGUUUACCAUGGAUAGUAAUACUGACUAUAUAAGUAAUUGGAGAUUGUAAUUUGGGACAACAGGAAGAAACUUUUUGAGACUGGUUAAUACUUUUUUCUUGGUUGGCUACAAUGAGUUGGCAGUGGCAUCUGAAGAACUAGUACUUCAAAUUACAACAUCUUCAAUAUCUAUUACAAGGAAGGGUAUUGUCGGUUGACAUUUUUAUCUUAUAGCAACCUUCAAUAUAUUAGACAAGGAUGAGAUUUGGGGGAUCACAUUUCCACUCUUGUAGUGUACUUGUGAUUCUAAAUAUGAAUACAUCACUCUUAGUAGGAUUUCCUUCAUGGGAAGAAAAUUUUGGCCUUUGGUUACUUAUCUACUUGAUCCUGUUCAUCUGAUUCAUCAUAUUUGCAGUUAUAUGCAUAUAAACAUCUGACACACUAUCAUUCACGCAUGGAGUAGGUAAUUUAACCAACAGAAGAUUUACUAGCGAGGCCUUGUAAACCACGUUACUCAUAAAGGGAACAUUAGAUGUGAGUUAAUAUAUGCUCUGUAGAUACAAUAGGUUUUGUUAUACAAUGCCUUAUGGCAUUAAUUUGAAAGUUUCUAGUGACAAGGUGUCAAUGGGACUCUAAUGGAAGUGUAAAUAAGUAGGAUGAGAGAAGAUCUGUUCAAAAACUAAGAAAUGUUAUUUCAUAGGAGUUUUAAAAUCCUAAGCCCAAAGUGAGCGCUUAAAAAGAGGAAAACAAGUACAGAUAGAUUUUCUAAGGACAACCCACCUGCUUUAUACUAUUUCACUUUAUGCAUUAAGGUGUUCUAAGAACAUUACAGGCAAAAUUACACCAACUUGGUGGUAAGGAUAUGUAUACUGUAUACGUAUCUUUCUUUGCCAAGUACAAUGCUUGAAUUAAGGUGUUAUGAUGACAUUCAAGUCAAAAUUAAAUAAUUUGUCAGAGGGAUAUAGUACAUGACUUUUUUGUAAAGUAAAAUCAAUUAAACAAAAAAAAAAUUUAAAAUCAAUCAAACUUUUUCAAGCAACCAGCUUAUACAAUUUUUAUUGCUUUUUGAUUCUUUUGAUUUGUAAACUAUCACAGCUAUAUCAGAAGAUUUGAUUUAUGCAUCCAUGAAUGAUAAUCGCCAUGGGUUUUCACCUUUUGAUGUGUGAACUGUAACAUGAAAACUAUAUAUUUUCACCUGAAGACAUGAGACUGAAAAAUGAAAAAGCUACAGAAGAGAGCUGUUUUUUUGUUCAAGCAUUCAAGGCCCACGAGAACAUUAAAUUAAGGCAUUCUGAUCCAAGUUAUAUGCGAAGAAUGUGACUUAGCUCAGAUCUAGGCUUGGCAAGUGGAUUCGCAGAUCCUCUGUUAAUGUAUAUUCAUGUCAUCUUGUAUUUAGAAAAAUUUAGGCAAUAAAUUGGUAAAGUAAUUAAAAAGUAGGCUUUGGCAAGUUUGAUUAAUAUAUGAAAAGGAGUAAUACGAUAGUUAAUUUUAAGACUAAUAUUUAGAGAAGUCUCAUAAUUUACAAAAAUACUUGAUUAGGCUUUCGCGUUUCUUAUUAUGGGCAUAUAAUGUCAAGAUGUUAUAUUCAAUAUGCAAUUUCUAGAAGUAUACAGGAAUAGAUUUAAAGUUGAACAAAUUUUGGGUGAUUAAAUUAUUAGAAAAUCUGUAUUGAGGGUAUUUAAGUCAGUUUUGAACAACUAACAAUUAAGAGUCAGAUUGCGUGAAACUAACCUUGAAAUGCCAAAAUCAUUGGAUUGAAGCAAGAACAAUGAAUGGUGCAAUAAGUUGGUGGUAUAGAUUUACUAGAUUGAAAGGAUGUAUGGAUUGAGAGGAUAUGAAAUCAAUGGUUAAAAAAAUUACCAAUUAUGAAUAACAAAAAAUAAAAAUUAAGUGCUAUUUUUUUGGUUCAUUUCCACACUAUGAAUGUGCACAUAUCAUAUUUUAAUAUACACAUAGAUAUACGCAUAGACAUGUGUAUAGCUAUUUAUGUUGAACAAUUAAUCCAGUAUCUCAUCUAGAAAACUAUGGCUCAUUAAAACAGUAAUCAUGACUACAUUUUUGUCCUGUGAACCUUUGUCCGAUAAAUGAACGUGACAUAUAUACACGUACUUUUUUUUUUCAAAGUUUGACCAUCCCAAGUCAAGAUAGACAUCGAAAUCACAAGUCGUUUAAAAAGAUACUUAUAAUUACUCAUCCAUGCAAAGGAUUCUUAUAAUUACUCAUCAGAGUGCAGGUUUUGAAAUCACUGGUGACUUAAAAGGAUGCUUAUCAAUUAUAAUUACUCAUCAAUAAAGGAUACUUAUAAUUACUCAUUAAUGUAUCCUUUUGGAAUGAAAUAGGGCAAGUUCCCAAAUCACAGUUAGAUUAAAUGGAUAAUUAUAAUUACUCAUCAAUGUACAGGUUUCAAAAUCACAAUGGUGGUUUAAAAGGACACUUAUAAUUACUCACCAAUGCACCCUCUUAGAACAAAACAGGAUAGGUUCUGAAAUCACAGGUGGUUAAAAGGAUUCGAUUCUCAUAGCUACUCAUCAAUGUACCAUUUUUAGACAAAGUAGGACAAGUUCCCAAAUCACAGGUGGCUUGAAUGACAAGUGGUUUAUUACUCAUCAAUGCACAGGUUCCAAAAUCACAGGUUGCUUAAAAGGAUAUUUAUAACUACUCAUCAAUGCAAAGGAUAUUUAUAAUUACUCAUUAUCUACCCUUUCAAAAUGAAACAGGGCAGAUUCUGAAAUCUCAGGUGACGUAAAAGGAUACUUAUAAUUACUGAUUAAUGCAAUGAAUACUCUUAAUUGCUUAUCAAUGCACCCUUUUAAAGCGGAGUAGGACAUGUUCUCAAAUCACAGGUAACUUAAAAGAAUAGUAAUAAUUACUUAUCAAUGCACAAGUGAAUUAAAAGGAUACUUAUAAUGACUUAUGCAAAGAAUCUUUAUAAUUACUCAUCAAUGCACCCUUCUAGAAUGAAGCAGGGUAAGCUCCGAAAUCACAGACGGUUUAAAUGGAUACUUAUACUUACUUGUCAAAGCACCCUUUUUGAAUGAGUUCCCAAAUCAUGGGUGGUUUAAAAGAAUAUUUAUAAUUACGCGUCAAUACGAAAGUUUUGAAAUCACAGGUAAUUUAAAGGAUAUUUUUAUUACUCAUAAAUGCAAAGGAUAUUUAUAAUUACUCAUCAAUACAGCCUUUUAGAACAAAGCAGGACAUCUUCCCAAAUCACAGGUGGCUUCAAAGGAUACUUAUAAUUGUUCAUCAGUGCACAGAUUUUGAAAUCAUAAGUGGCUUAAAAGGAUACUUAUAAUUGUUCAUCAGUGCAUAGAUUUUGAAAGCAUAAGUGGCUUAAAAGGAUAUGCACAAGACGCAAGACAAAUAGAAAUAGGCCGCAAAGCUAUCUCUGCUAUGCCCUUUCCCUUAUAUAUAUACAAAUCCAAGCCUUCUCUUGACCCAUAUUACUUUCCUAUGUUUUACCCCCAUCAUCUUUUGUGAUUUCUGCCUUUUACUUCUCUGCAUCCACAUCCUUUUACAUAAGACUUGAGAGAGAGACUGAUGAGAGGGAUGUGUGUGUGAGUUCUGUACUUUUUUCCUUUCACUUCUUCCCCUGAAAACCCAAGUUUGGUAUCCUUUUCAGAUUGCUGGUGGGCCCUUUCGGAAAAAAAACCUCAUUGCCUAUUCGCAAAUCUUACUCCAGCUGAUCUCAUAAUGGAGUACUGGGGCUUCAUCUGCAUGCUGAUGAUGGCUGUUUUUGGUGGUCUUAUGGGAUUGAAGUCCCUGCUGAAGAGCUUAAAUCGGUGGCACUUUGAAGCUAAGUUGGGUGAUAGGAGAUUCUCUCUGCCACCCGGUGAUCUGGGAUGGCCUUUUAUUGGCAGCAUGUGGGCUUUCCUCAGAGCUUUCAAGUCCAGCAAUCCUGAUUCUUUCAUCUCCAGUUUUGUCGACAGGUUCUCUCAGUUGUGUGUGUUUGUGUCUGUGUGUCUGCUACAUUUGCUUACACUAAGCAAAUGUAGCAUAAUUUUCUUUUGAUUUCAUGUUUUUAUCAAAUUUGUUCCUUAGCUUUUCUUUUUUCCCCUUUGCUCUUUAUUUUUUCUGGUGGCCAUGCAAAAUUAACCCAAUGAAUGAUCCAGAUUUGGUCCUGUGGGACUUUACAAGACUAUGAUGUUUGGUAGCCCAAGCAUCAUUGUUACAACACCAGAAGCUUGCAAGAGAGUUUUAACAGAUGAUGAAGCAUUCAUGCCUGGAUGGCCUAGUUCAACCCUGACACUUAUGGGGAGAAAAUCUUUCAUUGGCAUAUCCGCCCAAGAGCACAAAAGAUUGCGCAAAUUAACAGCAGCACCAGUGAAUGGACAUGAGGCAUUGUCCAUUUACUUGAAGUACAUUGAAGACAAUGUUAUAGAGGCUUUGGAGAAAUGGGCAGGAAUGGGACAAAUUGAGUUUUUAACUCAACUUCGAAAACUUACAUUCAGGAUAAUUACACAUAUUUUCCUGGGUUCAGAGAGUGAGCAAGUAAUGGAAGCCUUAGAAAGGGAGUAUACUGUACUCAACCAUGGUGUUAGAGCAAUGUCUAUUAACGUUCCUGGAUUUGCUUACUAUAAUGCUCUCAAGGUGAGCUUUGUUCAUCAUUCUUAUAUUCAUUGCACAACUUAUUCCAGUGGAAAUGAAAUGGUACAAUACUCAUUUAACGGUGCUAUGGCAUUUGAUUUUAAGUUGAGGAAUAAAUGUAGUACCUUGAUUGCCAGGAUUAUACUUUUGGGAUUAUAAACUGUGACUCAAAUAAGUGAUCUGAAAUGUUCAGGCACGGAAAAGGCUUGUGGCUAUAUUUCAAUCUGUUGUGACUGAGCGAAGGGCAAGGAGAAAGGAAGAUUCAACUGCUGAGAAAAGGGAUAUGAUGGACGCGCUGAUGGAUGCUGUAGAUGAUAAAGGUAGAAAAUUGGAUGAUGAGGAAAUUAUUGAUGUUCUAGUAAUGUAUCUAAAUGCAGGCCAUGAAUCAUCUGGCCAUGUUUCAAUGUGGGCUACUCUAUUUCUGCAGAAGAACCCUGAAGUCCUUCAGAAAGCAAAGGUAAGAAAAUCAUACUCAUCACCUUUGCUGUGUAUUUCUUGAUCAAUGUGAUCUACCUUCUACUCAUGGAUGCCACUAGCUAAGAAUGAGUUUAGUCUACUAAAUGUGAUGAUGCUUGGGAGUGAAAAAAUGGACAAAGAGUUCAAGAUUCUGGCUAAUUAGAGUUCUCAAGGAUUUGAGGACCACCGUUUGCCUAAAGUAUUGGACUUACUUGCAGGCUGAGCAAGAGGCAAUUGUUAAGAACAGGCCACCGGGCCAAGUAGGUUUGACUCUGAAAGAAAUUCGACAAAUGGACUAUCUUUCAAAGGUAGCUGAAUUUCUUAACAUCUCAUAAAUUUGCAAUCUUCCAGCAUUCACCUGAGUUUGCUGAUGAAAUUUUCUUGCUCCAAAAUCUUGAAGGUCAUUGAUGAAACACUACGUGUAGUUACCUUCUCAUUUGUGGUAUUCAGAGAAGCACAGAAAGACAUCAAUAUCUCUGGUAAGUUCAGUAAUCCUUGAUUUUCAUACAUCAGGAUGACAUCCCAGAAACCAAUGCAAAAGCAUAUACAUGAAGUAAUUUCUUGAAAGACGUUUUUCUGUGUUUUCUUCUCUUCACAGAAAAUGAUUUUGCUCAAAUGGUGCAGAUGGAAAACUAGCUAUUAUGCUUAUUGGAUAAUCUUGCAAAUAAAAACCUGCAAGAAGCAACCUAUUUGUUAUGUUUAUAAAAAUGUGCUAACUGCAGGAUUCUCGUUUCCUUCAGGUUUUACAAUUCCAAAAGGGUGGAAAGCAUUAGUCUGGUUUAGGAACGUUCAUUUUGAUCCUGAAUUGUAUCCCGAGCCAAAGAAAUUUGAUCCUGACAGAUGGGAUGUAAGUUAUAACUGUUCUAUAGUCCUCUGCUCUGCUCCUUGUAUCUAUUUUUAAUGUAUAAUUUCUUCUCUUCGCUUCCUGGCUAUCUCUAUCAAGCAAGAAUUAUUAUCUUUUAACUGUUUAUUUCCUCAAGUACGGAUUACUGCUUUUUCUUGUGACGCAAUAAUGAUUUUAUCUAGAAACUGAGAGAAGAUAAUCAAGAAAAUUAACAGAUGCUAUAUUUAUUUUCCGGGGUCUUACAGCUAAAGCAGGAAGUUUUCUUCCUUUCGGGGCAGGAGCCAGAACUUGUCCCGGAAAUGAUCUUGCAAAGCUCGAAAUUUCUAUUUUCCUUCACUAUUUUCUCCUUGACUAUGAGUGAGCAACCUGGCUUCCAUCCCUUCUUGACUUGCACUUCUUAGCUUAAAAUUUCCUUUCAAACUGUAGCAUAACAUUCAGAAAAGAUGUAUGGUUGACAUGGCAUGUGCAUAAACACUGGCUUCUUAAGUAGUUGCUAGUACCAUUCAUAAAUCAAACCUGGAUUAGAAAUUACGUUCAUUUUCAUGGAGAAAAGAUUGAAAUUGCUAAUUCAAUCCCUUGGUGUUUUCAGAAAACAAAAUACAUAAGGCACAUUUUUAUUGAUUGUGUUGUCCCUUUGUCUUGCAGGCUAGAAAGGCAGAAUCCUUCGUGCCCAUUAAUCUAUUUACCUCAUCAGAGGCCUAUAGAUAAUUGUUUGGGACGAGUCAGAAGGGUCUCACCUUCAAGUGUGCGGAAAAAGGACUGAACUCUCCUCUAUUUCAGUGAAAUCUUUGGCAUGCUUAAGUUCGUAAGACGUAUCUAGAUAGAUUAUGUGGCCU
rnacentral:lncRNA from 1 species